rnacentral:pre_miRNA from 1 species
UCACCUCCGCAGGCUGAGGCCCCCAGGCUGGGCGGGGCGAGUAUCUCUCUGAAAGGCGCACCCCCAAGCAUGACCAGGAGC